rfam:Sphingobacterium sp. IITKGP-BTPF85 Sphingobacterium_sp_IITKGP-BTPF85_Contig_00015, whole genome shotgun sequence.
CGCUUAUAGAGAAAGGCAGAGGGAAUAGACCCAAUGAAGCCUUAGCAACCUGUCAAUUGACAAGGUGCUACAUUCUACCCCAUCAAAAAGUGGGAAUGAUAAGCU